rnacentral:rRNA from 1 species
AGUCAUAUGGAUUCCUACGGGAGGCAGCAGUGAGGAAUCUUCCGCAAUGGGCGAAAGCCUGACGGAGCGACACCGCGUGGAGGAUGACGCGUUUACUCGUGUAAACUCCUUUUCUGUGGGAAGAUAAUGACGGUACCACAGGAAUAAGGGGCGGCAAACUACGUGCCAGCAGCCGCGGUAAUACGUAGGCCCCAAGCGUUAUCCGGAAUUACUGGGUGUAAAGCGUCUGUAGGUGGGGAUAUAAGUCUCUCAUGAAAGACCGGAGCUCAACUCCGUGUUUGUGAGAGAUACUGUAUUUCUAGAAUCGGGGAGAGGGAAGCAGAAUUAUAUGAGUAGGGGUGCAAUCCGUUGAUACAUAUAAGAAUACCAAAAGCGAAGGCAGCUUCCUGGAACCGUAUUGACACUGAGAGACGAAAGCGUGGGGAGCGAAAAGGAUUAGAUACCCUUGUAGUCCACGCCCUAAACGAUGGGUACUGAGUGUUGGGACUUGUUCCCAGUGCUUCAAGCUAACGCAUUAAGUACCCCACCUGAGGAGUACGGCCGCAAGGUUAAAACUCAAAUGAAUAGACGGGGACCCACACAAGCAGUGGAUCAUGUGGUUUAAUUCGACAAUAAACGGGGAACCUUACCCAGGCUUGACAUCCUACGAAUCUGGCGGAAACGUCGGAGUGCUCGCAAGAGAAUGUAGAGACAGGCGCUGCAUGGUUGUCGUCAGCUCGUGCCUUGAGGUGUUCGGUUAAGUCCGUUAACGAGCGCAACCCGCGUCAUUAGUUACUAUGUCUAAUGAGACUGCCUGAGUUAAUCAGGAGGAAGGUGUGGAUGACGUCAAAUCAGCAUGGCCCUUAUGCCUGGGGCUACACACAUGAUACAAUGGUCGGUACAAAGAGCUGCAAACCCGCGAGGGCAAGCCAAUCUCAUAAAGCCGAUCUCAGUCCAGAUUGGAGGCUGCAACUCGCCUCCAUGAAGUUGGAAUUGCUAGUAAUCGUGAAUCAGACAUGUCACGGUGAAUAUGUUCCUGGGCCUUGUACACACCGCCAUC